GUAAAGCCAAGAAAUGAAAAAAGUCAUAUCGGAGGACACUUGCAAUCUGUCACACUGACAAGACGUCUCAAGCCACCAGAGAGAAUUUCUCCAGCUCAGGUGAUCAGAAAGAUGGAACAGUUCAGCUUUCUAUUUCUUUUGGGAGUCUUUUAUUCCCUCUUCAUCGAAACUGAAGCAAGCCCAUUCGUAUACGACUAUUACAAACUACGAGUUGGUGGCUUGGUGUUCGCAGGCAUGCUUGUGACAGGAGCAGUUGUUUUAUUAAUGUGGAACAGGUGUAGGCCAAGCAAGAAAGGAGAUGAUGACUCUGAAAUUUGAGAUCCUUCAGAGGACUGCACCAGUUUGGGAUUUGUUGUCAUGACAGCCAUAAUCAUGUUUGAUGGGUCUGAUGUUGCUAGGGUAAUGCUGGACUAUAAAGAGAGGCGUUGUAGUGACUAGAUGGGUUCAAAUGCAUUUGUUUUUAUCUUUAUUUACUGAAGCCAUUGCAUGGAAUUGUGAAUCUUACAUUAAAAAGGACAAUUCUGUGUAUGAAGAAUAGAAUCACAGUUUGGUUGAGGUUGA